GUUGAAACAUCGGUUCCCGUAUGAUCACCGAAGUUAAGCAACGUCUAGCCUAGUCAGUACCUAGAUGGGUUACCGCUUGGUAAUACCAAUUGCUGUAAG